rnacentral:siRNA from 1 species
GCAGGAUUGAUGUCAGCUCCUC